rnacentral:rRNA from 1 species
AGAGUUUGAUCCUGGCUCAGGACGAACGCUGGCGGCGCGCCUAACACAUGCAAGUCGAACGGAGCUUAGAGAGCUUGCUUUUUAAGCUUAGUGGCGAACGGGUGAGUAACGCGUGAGUAACCUGCCCUAGAGUGGGGGACAACAGUUGGAAACGACUGCUAAUACCGCAUAAGCCCACGGUACCGCAUGGUACUGAGGGAAAAGGAUUUAUUCGCUUUAGGAUGGACUCGCGUCCAAUUAGCUAGUUGGUGAGGUAACGGCCCACCAAGGCGACGAUUGGUAGCCGGACUGAGAGGUUGAACGGCCACAUUGGGACUGAGACACGGCCCAGACUCCUACGGGAGGCAGCAGUGGGGGAUAUUGCACAAUGGGGGAAACCCUGAUGCAGCGACGCCGCGUGGAGGAAGAAGGUUUUCGGAUUGUAAACUCCUGUCGUUAGGGACGAUAAUGACGGUACCUAACAAGAAAGCACCGGCUAACUACGUGCCAGCAGCCGCGGUAAAACGUAGGGUGCAAGCGUUGUCCGGAAUUACUGGGUGUAAAGGGAGCGCAGGCGGGAAGACAAGUUGGAAGUGAAAACCAUGGGCUCAACCCAUGAAUUGCUUUCAAAACUGUUUUUCUUGAGUAGUGCAGAGGUAGAUGGAAUUCCCGGUGUAGCGGUGGAAUGCGUAGAUAUCGGGAGGAACACCAGUGGCGAAGGCGGUCUACUGGGCACCAACUGACGCUGAGGCUCGAAAGCAUGGGUAGCAAACAGGAUUAGAUACCCUGGUAGUCCAUGCCGUAAACGAUGAUUACUAGGUGUUGGGGGAUUGACCCCCUCAGUGCCGCAGUUAACACAAUAAGUAAUCCACCUGGGGAGUACGACCGCAAGGUUG